rnacentral:misc_RNA from 1 species
UCUGAUUGGCUGGAUACCAUCUGGAGAGGGAAAGUUCAAUAUGAUUGUAUGUACAUUGUAGGUACUUAGUUCUUUGUUACGCAGAAGAGAUUUGCAUUUGGUAAGGAAGGAUCAUAUCAGGAAUACGUCUCUGAUCAGGAGUAGAAAUUGGGGAUUGGGUGCUAACCGAAAUAUAACUUGCUGUUCCAGGGACAGCUCCACCACCAGUGUCCCUGUUGACAGCACCACUAGCUCUGUUGUACUACAGCUCCACCACCAGUGUUCCUGUUGACAGCACCACUAGAUCUG